rnacentral:tRNA from 1 species
GGCCCCGUAGCUCAGUAGGAUAGAGCAAUAGUUUCCUAAACUACAGGUCGGAGGUUCGAAUCCUCUCGGGGUCG